rnacentral:rRNA from 1 species
AGAGUUUGAUCCUGGCUCAGAUUGAACGCUGGCGGCAGGCCUAACACAUGCAAGUCGAGCGGCAGCGGGAGGAAGCUUGCUUCCUCGCCGGCGAGCGGCGGACGGGUGAGUAAUGUCUGGGGAUCUGCCCGAUGGAGGGGGAUAACCACUGGAAACGGUGGCUAAUACCGCAUAACGUCGCAAGACCAAAGUGGGGGACCUUCGGGCCUCACACCAUCGGAUGAACCCAGAUGGGAUUAGCUAGUAGGUGGGGUAAUGGCUCACCUAGGCGACGAUCCCUAGCUGGUCUGAGAGGAUGACCAGCCACACUGGAACUGAGACACGGUCCAGACUCCUACGGGAGGCAGCAGUGGGGAAUAUUGCACAAUGGGCGCAAGCCUGAUGCAGCCAUGCCGCGUGUGUGAAGAAGGCCUUCGGGUUGUAAAGCACUUUCAGCGAGGAGGAAGGUGGUGAGCCUAAUACGCUCAUCAAUUGACGUUACUCGCAGAAGAAGCACCGGCUAACUCCGUGCCAGCAGCCGCGGUAAUACGGAGGGUGCAAGCGUUAAUCGGAAUUACUGGGCGUAAAGCGCACGCAGGCGGUUUGUUAAGUCAGAUGUGAAAUCCCCGAGCUUAACUUGGGAACUGCAUUUGAAACUGGCAAGCUAGAGUCUCGUAGAGGGGGGGUAGAAUUCCAGGUGUAGCGGUGAAAUGCGUAGAGAUCUGGGAGGAAUACCGGUGGGCGAAACCGGCCCCCUGGACGAGACUGACGCUUCAGUGCGAAGCGUGGGGAAGCAAACAAGGAUUA